GAUGAAGAACGUAGCGAAAUGCGAUAAGUAAUGUGAAUUGCAGAAUUCAGUGAAUCAUCGAAUCUUUGAACGCACAUUGCGCCCGCCAGUAUUCUGGCGGGCAUGCCUGUUCGAGCGUCAUUUCAACCCUCAAGCCCCCGGGCUUGGUGUUGGGGAUCGGCGUGCCCUCGCGGCGCGCCGUCCCCUAAAUCUAGUGGCGGUCUCGCUGUAGCUUCCUCUGCGUAGUAGCAACACUCGCACUGGAUCGCAGCGCGGCCACGCCGUUAAACCCCCCACUUCUGAAAGUUUGUCCUCGGAUCAGGUAGGAAUACCCGCUGAACUUAAGCAUAUCAAUAAGCGGAGGA
rnacentral:misc_RNA from 1 species